rnacentral:rRNA from 1 species
UCUAAUACCGGAUACGAGCCUCCAAGGCAUCUUGGAGGUUGGAAAGCUCCGGCGGUGAAGGAUGAGCCCGCGGCCUAUCAGCUUGUUGGUGAGGUAAUGGCUCACCAAGGCGACGACGGG